UCGGGCAUGGUGUAUGGCGCACGCUCCCUCCUGUUACGGUUGGCAGAACUAGGAGUGCUGAAGGGAGAAGCCCAGGUUCGACUCCUGGUGCCCGAC